rnacentral:tRNA from 1 species
GGUGGCUCAGUGGUAGAGUGCUUGCCUUGCAUGCAUGAAGCCCUGGGUUCAAUUCCCCAGGACCA